rnacentral:rRNA from 2 species
UGGGGAAUAUUGCACAAUGGGCGAAAGCCUGAUGCAGCAACGCCGCGUGAGCGAUGAAGGCCCUUGGGUCGUAAAGCUCUGUCCUAUGGGAAGAAACAAAUGACGGUACCAUUGGAGGAAGCCCCGGCUAACUACGUGCCAGCAGCCGCGGUAAUACGUAGGGGGCAAGCGUUAUCCGGAAUCAUUGGGCGUAAAGAGUGCGUAGGUGGUUUCUUAAGCGUGGGGUUUAAGGCUACGGCUUAACCGUAGUUCGCCCCAUGAACUGGGAGACUUGAGUGCAGGAGGGGAAAGUGGAAUUCCUAGUGUAGCGGUGAAAUGCGUAGAUAUUAGGAGGAACACCAGUGGCGAAGGCGACUUUCUGGACUGUAACUGACACUGAGGCACGAAAGCGUGGGGAGCAAACAGG